UCUCCAUAUUUCACGUGCUUUCUCACCGGUCAGAGCGACGAGAGAGCAUGCGGAAUGAAGAGA
rnacentral:pre_miRNA from 1 species